CCUACACGUGAUUGAGGACUGCGCACAUGUACUUCUGUUUUUAUUUUGCAGUUGGGGGGAUGGGAACAGGACAAUCGGACAACUAAGUGCGUGAUGUGGACUGACUGCAUACCUUUCACCCGAGGAAAAAUGAGGAGUGCACUCAUCAGACUAUGAACCUUAAAGGCACGCUACGUAAACUGUUAUUUGAGUCCCCUUUCAUGUUUGAGCACAGGCCAAGUAAAAAUGAGGAACUGCGUGGGAGAAGGGAAACAAAUGCUUCCAAGAGGAGAGCGUAUCUAAGGCAAUAAAAUGU